AUGAUACGGGCCGCCCCGAGAAACCUCGAGGACGGAUGUGGGGUGGGGUCUAACAGGACAAACCCAGUGAUGGCCUGCUCUUUUUCCAGCGUACACACAGAUCCAGCCCCAGCAGCCCCAGUUCGUGGUCCAGCAGCAGCAGCAGCAGCAGCAGCAGCAGCAGCAGCAGUCACGGCCUGUGCAUUCCCUGACCCUCCAACCUGCUGUGGCUGCCCCACCCCAAGGCCCGCUGGGCCCAGUCCCAGUGCUUCCAAGACUGCCGGCGUCAGCCCCGCAGCCAGCCAUCUUCCAUUCAGCCGUGGGCCCCCAUGUGCUCGGCCAGAUCGGCCAGCCCCCGCCGCUGAAAGCCGUGGGUCCUCCCAAAGGCCGGCCCGUGCAACUGGCCGCGGUGAACCUCCAGAUUCAGCCCACGCCAUCCCCGGCUGCUCCUCUGAGCCAGGACAAUGCCGGCAGAGAGGAGCCGACUGCUCUGGUGGUCAGGGAGUGCAGUCCCAUGCCUGGUGUCCAGCCCAACGCCGUGCCCCCACCCCCCGCCUCCUCCACGCAGGAACGCAAGUCCGACUCCGGCGAGGCCGUCGUCCAAGCGCGAGGUACUUAGCGUAGCGAAUCGCUUCGUUGUCGAUGCUGUACGAGUUACGUUGAUGAAGUGCGGUGUGAGACUGGGAAUUUCGAAAUGGCUUGGAAAACAGAGCCCACUGUACCACGCAAAUCAUCCAAAAGAAUCAACAUUUCCGGCAAAACAACCCGGGAUGAACCCUAAGGAAGUCUGUGUUAUUACACUGAGGACUACUACUGUACUCUUCUCAAUGUGAACAUUGGGAAUUAGAAAUAAGUGGAAACUUUUGCCAUAGGUGGAUGUGUUAUAAUAGCUUUUAGGGGAUGGGAAUAGCACUGAUUGUCAUCCUAAGUGAAAAAUUUGCCAUGGCCUCUCAGCCUGAUCUUUAUAACAGCACUGUGUUCUUAUCACACCUGAACAGUUGAACUCAGAGUGGAUUUAAACUUAUGAUCUUCAGGGCUGCUAGUUGAUCCACAUCAUCUGUCCCCUGGAGGUGUAUGGUGUCUCUCGCACCCACAUGUCUUUUGUCCUGCUUCGGUAGUGCCGAAAAAACAGGGAGAACUUUAGCCUCAUCCGAGCCUUUUUCCGCUUCGUUUUUUAUACGGCAGAGAAAUGUGAACCGACUCGGCUUGUUUUGUACAUUGUCGUAUCGCUCACAUUUAUUUUCCCACUCAUUUUCUCACGCUUAAAGCAUGUCGUGAGCUCGGAGCAUGCGGAUGAAAACGUGACAAAUCCUUUUAUGUUCACAGUUUAUUGUAACAGGUAAGGUAUGACACACAUUUGGUAAAGAAAAUUCCUAAAUGGCUCUUUGUUAAGGAGGAAAAAACACUAAAUUCCCUUCAUUCACAGCCACCGUUGAACACAAACGAACGGAUUUUCAGUGAUCCAAAAAAUCGAUGUGAAAUCAGGCAUUUUUUCCACCUGACCAACACAUCAAAAUUUGGCAGAAAAUUUGAACUCAGUCCAUAUCUCAGCCUUCGAAUCCCAGCUUGUGAGGUCUGCGUUUUAUGUUUUCAUCUUCAAAGUUGUUGAGGAAAGUGAUUUGCAGAGGCAUGUUGAACCAAACACUGAAAAUUAUCUGCCGACGACCCGUUUUUGUAGGUCUUUGAAUCACAGAGCAGUACAUGUAUCCUUAUGGGUUUUCAUAAUAGGAUGGAAAUACACACACACACACACACACACACACUGUCUGAACCACUUGUUCCAUUUGGGGUAACAGGGCACCAGAGCCUAACCUGGCAACACAGGGCAUGGGGCUGGAGGGGGAGGGGACACACCCAGGAUAGGACAGGACACCAGUCUGUCGCAAGGCACCCCAAGCGGGACUCGAACCCCAGACUCACCAGAGAGCAGGACCCGGUCCAACCCAUUGCACCACCGCGCCCCCCCGGAUGGAAAUAGCAGUGUGUACAUUUUUUUCUCUUUUUAAUACCUAACUAUUAACACCUGUAAAAUACUCACAAGUAUCAUAAAACAAAUUAAAUUUUUUGUUCAGCAAAAUUUCCCGUUUCAAAAAUCUAUUUCACCACCACGUGUUGCUUUUUGCAGAUGUUCCCGACCUUGUUGUAAAAAGAACUUGCACUUAGUUAUUUAUACAGGUAAAAUUAUUAGGUUAGACAUAAAUGAUUAGACAUAUCCAAAAGCAAUAAUUCUGAAUGCAUUAUUUAAUGUGAGUGAUCAUAAGUGUCGUAUUACUAUACUCCUCCUCAUCUUAACUUUAAUUAUUAUAUUUCUGCAGCAAUUGCCUUGUACAGUGGCAGACUUAGGCAAAGGUAUUACUUUCAAAUGAGAGUUCUGCAUAUGCUGUUUGGUUUUAUUCAAUAAAUUCUGGCCGCCUCUAAUUUAAUUUUUAAAG
rnacentral:lncRNA from 1 species